AUUGAACGCUGGCGGCAGGCCUAACACAUGCAAGUCGAGCGGAUGAAGGGAGCUUGCUCCUGGAUUCAGCGGCGGACGGGUGAGUAAUGCCUAGGAAUCUGCCUUGUAGUGGGGGAUAACGUCCGGAAACGGGCGCUAAUACCGCAUACGUCCUGAGGGAGAAAGUGGGGGAUCUUCGGACCUCACGCUCUCAGAUGAGCCUAGGUCGGAUUAGCUAGUUGGUGGGGUAAAGGCCUACCAAGGCGACGAUCCGUAACUGGUCUGAGAGGAUGAUCAGUCACACUGGAACUGAGACACGGUCCAGACUCCUACGGGAGGCAGCAGUGGGGAAUAUUGGACAAUGGGCGAAAGCCUGAUCCAGCCAUGCCGCGUGUGUGAAGAAGGUCUUCGGAUUGUAAAGCACUUUAAGUUGGGAGGAAGGGCAGUAAGUUAAUACCUUGCUGUUUUGACGUUACCAACAGAAUAAGCACCGGCUAACUUCGUG
rnacentral:rRNA from 1 species